rnacentral:rRNA from 1 species
UACGUAGGGCGCAAGCGUUGUCCGGAAUUAUUGGGCGUAAAGAGCUCGUAGGCGGUUUGUCGCGUCUGCCGUGAAAACCCGAGGCUUAACCUCGUGGCUUGCGGUGGAUACGGGCAGACUAGAGGUAGGCAGGGGAGAAUGGAAUUCCCGGUGUAGCGGUGAAAUGCGCAGAUAUCGGGAGGAACACCGGUGGCGAAGGCGGUUCUCUGGGCCUUACCUGACGCUGAGGAGCGAAAGCGUGGGGAGCGAACAGG